rnacentral:tRNA from 1 species
GGUGAGGUGCCCGAGCGGCCUAAGGGAAUGGUCUUGAAAACCAUCGUGGCUUCGCGGCCACCGUGGGUUCGAAUCCCACCCUCACCG